CGAAGAUUAGCUAAUCUAUAAUCUCGUUCUAAGUUCGGAUUGUAGGCUGCAACUCGCCUACAUGAAUCUGGAAUCGCUAGUAAUCGCGGAUCAGCAUGCCGCGGUGAAUACGUUCCCGGGCCUUGUACACACCGCCCGUCACACCAUGGGAGUGGGAUGCAAAAGAAGUAUUUAGUCUAACCUUCGGGAUGACGA
rnacentral:rRNA from 1 species